UAUAAUGGGUCAGCGACUUAUAUUCUGUAGCAAGGUUAACCGUAUAGGGGAGCCGCAGGGAAACCGAGUCUUAACUGGGCGUUAAGUUGCAGGGUAUAGACCCGAAACCCGGUGAUCUAGCCAUGGGCAGGUUGAAGGUUGGGUAACACUAACUGGAGGACCGAACCGACUAAUGUUGAAAAAUUAGCGGAUGACUUGUGGCUGGGGGUGAAAGGCCAAUCAAACCGGGAGAUAGCUGGUUCUCCCCGAAAGCUAUUUAGGUAGCGCCUCGUGAAUUCAUCUUCGGGGGUAGAGCACUGUUUCGGCUAGGGGGUCAUCCCGACUUACCAACCCGAUGCAAACUACGAAUACCGAAGAAUGUUAUCACGGGAGACACACGGCGGGUGCUAACGUCCGUCGUGAAGAGGGAAACAACCCAGACCGCCAGCUAAGGUCCCAAAGUCAUGGUUAAGUGGGAAACGAUGUGGGAAGGCACAGACAGCCAGGAUGUUGGCUUAGAAGCAGCCAUCAUUUAAAGAAAGCGUAAUAGCUCACUGGUCGAGUCGGCCUGCGCGGAAGAUGUAACGGGGCUAAACCAUGCAC
rnacentral:rRNA from 1 species